GGGAGCGGAUGGGAGCCUGGUGGCCUCCGCGGAUUUCAAAUCCGUUGCGGUGUCGGGAGACCGGCGCUGGGUGGGUUCGAUUCCCACACGUUCCCGCCA
rnacentral:tRNA from 2 species